GAUGAACGCUGGCGGCGUGCCUAAUACAUGCAAGUCGAGCGAACGGACGAGAAGCUUGCUUCUCUGAUGUUAGCGGCGGACGGGUGAGUAACACGUGGAUAACCUACCUAUAAGACUGGGAUAACUUCGGGAAACCGUAGCUAAUACCGGAUAAUAUUUUGAACCGCAUGGUUCAAAAGUGAAAGACGGUCUUGCUGUCACUUAUAGAUGGAUCCGCGCUGCAUUAGCUAGUUGGUAAGGUAACGGCUUACCAAGGCAACGAUGCAUAGCCGACCUGAGAGGGUGAACGGCGACAGUGGAACUGAGACACGGUCCAGACUCCUACGGGAGGCAGCAGUAGGGAAUCGUCCGCAAUGGGCGAAAGCCUGACGGAGCAACGCCGCGUGAGUGAUGAAGGUCUUCGGAUCGUAAAACUCUGUUAUUGGGGAAGAACAUACGUGUAAGUAACUGUGCACAUCUUGACGGUACCUAAUCAGAAAGCCACGGCUAACUACGUG
rnacentral:rRNA from 1 species